AAUCUUGUCUUAGAAAAGAAACCAUAAUCAAGAAGGUAGUUUCCCAGGGUGAGGCCUGUCCCUUGUACUCCAGGCAGGCUGACCCCUGCAAGUUUCCCCAAAAGCAGAAAACCCGACUGCAAAAUUUUGUGGCAAUAGGAUACUGCUUUCUUGCCUUUCCCCU
rnacentral:snRNA from 14 species